GUGGGGAAUCUUCCGCAAUGGACGAAAGUCUGACGGAGCAACGCCGCGUGAGUGAAGAAGGUUUUCGGAUCGUAAAGCUCUUUCGUUAGGGACGAACGUGCUCUUUGUGAAUAAUGAGGAGUAAUGACGGUACCUAAAUAAGAAGCCACGGCUAACUACGUGCCAGCAGCCGCGGUAAUACGUAGGUGGCAAGCGUUGCCCGGAAUUAUUGGGCGUAAAGCGCGCGCAGGCGGGAUAUCAAGUCUGUCUUAAAAGUGCGAGGCUCAACCUCGUGAGGGGACAGAAACGGGUAUUCUUGAGUGUCGGAGAGGAAAGUGGAAUUCCAAGUGUAGCGGUGAAAUGCGUAGAGAUUUGGAAGAACACCAGUGGCGAAGGCGACUUUCUGGACGAUGUCUGACGCUGAGGCGCGAAAGCUAGGGGAGCGAACGGGAUUAGAUACCCUUGUAGUCC
rnacentral:rRNA from 1 species